rnacentral:pre_miRNA from 1 species
GAUUUCAACUGAAAAAGUCAUCAACAACAAAAUUGUAUAACUCAUCAAGAUCUAUAACUUCUAUUUUGGUCAUUUUUUUAUCCGAUAAAGUGAUUUGUAACGUUGUUCACAAAAUGUACAUAUCUCUUAUAGUUUUAUAAACUAUAAGAGAUAUGUAAAUUUUAAAAAUAUGUUACGAUCACUUUAUCGGAUGAAGAAAUGACCAAAAUAGAAGUUAUAGAUCUUGAUGAGUUAUACAACUUUAUUAUCGAUGACUUUUUUUAGCUGAAAUC